UUUUAGACUAAAAACACCAAACUCCCCAAUGAAUGCAGUUCACCCGUAAUUCUCCACAGAGACAGAGAUUAACCCUUCCAUACUUAAUAUACAAAAAAAUCAAUGUAGACAGGUCACUAGAAUUACUGUAUGGAUUGAGCUGCCAAUUAACUGGGGGUUGUUAUGAAAAAAGAGGUCUUCUCAACAUCAGGAUCCUCAAAGAGCACCCAACCCAGCCACUGUCUUUUACAUUUGUGCCAGUUGUCAGAAAGUUGCCGACUCACGCCUAUGUACACAUUGGAAAAUGUGGACAACCCAAAUGCAAGCCAAAUGAGCAUUUAGGAUCACAAGAGGAGAUGGCAUCUGACAUGCUGCAACACGGCAUUUUCAAAGCAGAAAUUGUGUUCAUUGGUGAUUCAGAAGAUGAAGGAGAAGAUGCCCCUGCACAUCAUCACUGUCUUGAGCAAACAAAUGACACUGCAAGAAUUGAGCCUCAGCUUCAGUUCAAAUCUUCUGCCACAACUGACCAUUUGAGCCAAGUAUCACUUUGUACUCAUCCAGUCCCUGUUGAUAAAAAGAAAGCAGAGCAUCCCACAAUUAAUGUGCAUCACAUCCCAGAGUCUACAUCAAAUAGAUCUGAUAACAAGCACCAACAGCUAAUUCAGUCGUUUAACAAUACUUCCCAUACCGCUCCAGUCUAUUCAAGUCUCUACUGCAGUGAGAGACUGGGUGAAAGAGAAAUGGCUGCAAAAACUCCAGAUCCCUUAACAAACACUCUCUAUUCAGAAAGGCUAAUCUCGCCAGCAUCUUCAAAAGAAUCAAUACUGUCUGGAGGUCCAGACAGAGUAAAAAGUUUAUCUGCUUUACAUUUACUGUCCUCUGAAGGCUCACAGGGUUCACUUUCCAGAACUGCAUCUCCUUGCUCUUCAAUAAGAUCGGGCAUGUUCUCUCCAGCUUUGGUCAAAAUUGUCCCCCAUUCUUUAUCAUCCAGCUCUAGUCUAUUUCAGGCAUCACCCCGCUGUUUCUCUCCAACAAGAGAUAGUCUCACACCCUCCCCUUUCCAGGUCUCAUCAAGUACUACUUUAGUUCGGUCAGGUCCUAGGCGCCCACUAACACAACUCUCUCUACUUACUGCUAUUCUUAGAACUGGUCAGCUCCCGCAUUCAUCAACAGCACACAACUCAUUACAAAGACCAUUCUCUCCUUCCUGUCCAGCUAGUACUGCUAGUAUCUUAUCCUCUAACACCUGUUCUGUCACAUCCAGCUUAACAUCUAUCUCUUUUGAGGCCUCUAGACCACAGUCACCAAGUAGUGCAGAGAAGCCUCUUGAGGGGUCUCUUGCUGGAAUGCAUAGAGCUACUUCAGCAUCACUGAAGUAUCAAACACCUGCUUCACCCUCCUGUAUAACAGAAGCCAUGCCUCACUCUCCUCCUGCCCAUUCCCCCAAACCAGCUUGUCCCUCACAAGAUCUCUUCAAAUGUAGUCCUAGGACUCUCUCACCUGUUUCACAAAACUAUUCUGCCUUAUCUAGAAACAAACCAGUCUCCCCCACAGCACAGCAGACUCUGAAACAGAUCAGCAGCAAGGACACUUUAUCAACUGUCCGUUAUCCCAUUGCACCUUCUUCAUCCUUUUCUAGACGUGACACUUUGUCCCCUAGGUCCAGUUCCUUAGCCCUCUGCACCUCAGAAAGGCUUGAUGCACCUUCCCCAACACCAGUAGUUACUAUUUGUCCAGCACUAAGCUGCAAUCAGCCUUGCUCUAAGUCUCCUUUGCAAAAUAGGAUCUCACUUGGCUCAUCAACCGAGAGAUUUAGUUCCAUCUCACUUACCCGUGGGCUUUCUCCACCCCCAAGGCCGAAUUCUGUUUCUGCUUCUCCUUCUCCGUGUCCAUCUCCUUUCUCUACACAAUCCCACUCACAAAGACCCUAUUCUUUCAAUCCUACUGCAUACCGCCUAACACCCUCGCCAUCACCACAUGGGAACAGUGGCUCUACUCCAUCACCUUCUCCGUCUCUGCCCCCAGUACCCUCACCAACCCCAAGAUCUGUGACUUCACCCUUUUCUAUUGAAUGUGAAACUAAAAAUCCAAAGGAAUACAAGAUCAAGUCCAGCUACAAGGCAUUUGCAGCAAUACCCUCAAACAUACUGCUCUUGGAGCAGAAGGCAAUAGACGAGGAGGUUGACAAUCCAGUGAGCGUCCCUGUUGAAGAUAAUAUAGUGUCAGAAACUCAUGCAGAGAUAUGUUCACCUGCACAGCUUCGCCAACAGUCUGAGGAACUGUAUGCCACCAUUGAUCAAGUCUUAGAGGAACCUAUGCCUAUGCGACAAUCCCAUUCUGUUCCAAUUUCCCUGCAGAAACUAAUGGAUUCUGAUGCACCAAAAAAUUGUACAACGCUACCACGAUCUGCUGGGCGGGAGACUAAAUAUGUGAUUGAUAAGCAAACAGCUUUGAAGCAUUUCUCUUGAAAAGUGAAGGAUUGUUUUCUCCUUCCACAAAGUGACAGAUGCAAAGUCUGGAAUUUUUGUUUGGUUCCUUGUCUUGUCGCCUAAAUAAGUAAAAUAACACACCAGUAUUUCAUUUUUUUUUCUUUACAACUAUACAUCAUGGAACUUAGAUGAGUAGUACCAAAGAUAAUCUGUUUCAUGGGUACCACUUUUGUAGUGUAUAGAGAGAGACAGCUAAGAGAGUAUAUGAAAAACAACAAUAAAGUGCAAUUACAGUUUACAGUUACAACUGACUCCAGUGUUUUCACUAUAUCACAAUUUGGCUACAAGGAUGACUGAAUUAUCUUUACCUCCGCCUGCACCGUUCCUGCCUGUACCUGGCAAACCCCCAGUUCCAUGGUGCCGGUGGUAUGAAUCUUUCCAAACGCACUUAAUAGCCCUGGAUCUGCAAGACGUGGCAGCCCCACGGAAACAAGCUAUAUUCUUACAUUGCUUGGGCGCAGAAGGUCAGUGCAUCUUUUCAACUCUAGAGCCGGCUGAUGAUACGUUUGAAGCAACUAUCAUUGUUCUUUCUGGACAUUUUGGCACCCGACAGAGUAUUCUCAUCAAUUUGUUUCAGUUUUGCCAGCAAACACAGCGGACGGGUGAGUCAGGUUACCAGUUUGUAGCUUCACUGGGGGAGUUAGUACAGCAUUUCAAAUUCAGAGCGCUACCUGAUGAGCUAAUUAGGGACCAGUUGAUAGAAAAAACAUCAUGUGUAACUGAGGAAGUGCUUGUUAUUGGAAUCAGAUGAUUUAACAUUGGGGAAAGCAUUGGAUAUUGGAAAGUAAGUAGAAGCUGCAGGGGCGUGUAAACUAUCAGGCACCUCAACUACACCAUCUUUUGACGUUACAGCCCAAGUGCCAGUACAAAAAGUAUAGAAUAACCCCCAAUUAAGUUCCAGGCGCUGCUCUAAUUGUGGAUCACUCAGACAUGCAGCCUGGUCCCCUAAGUGUCCUGCAAGAGGCCAGCGCGUAGUAACUGUCAAAAACUGCACCACUUCUCCCAUUGGUGCCGUUCAGCGCCCGCCCCACCUGCUACCGCACCCAGCAUUGCACCCUCAUCACCAGUAACAAUUAAUUCAGUGUCACAACCAGACACUUCAUUCAAAACAUGUGGCUGCUAUGUGAAUGAUAUCCUGAUAACAUUUCUGAUUGACACAGGCGCCAAGGUCUCGCUCCUAAAUAAGGCAACAUACGCCAAUUUUUUUCACACAUUCCUUUGCAACAGUCUCGGGUUACGGCCACACCCAAAUUACUGUUCUGGGCAUUGUCUGCCUUCCAGUAUGGUACAAAGCCCACACUACUGCCCCAUCAAUAUUUUACAUCACCUGAUGGGAUUGGAUUUAUUUCACAGCCUUAACUUCAAACUGUCUGAUUCCUGUGGUACUGAUGUCCUACAUGUCACGACCACUUGGCACCAUAUGCCCCCUGCAUUGUUUGAAGGCUUGGGGCACAUUACUGACUUUGUACACCAAGCAACAGUUGACCCUGCUACACCACCUGUCAUCCAGCCCUUACGGAGGGUGCUUCUUUCGCUCCGUGACCAAGUCUCUGCAGAAAUGCAGCGCCUUCUGGACACCGACAUCAUUGAACCCAUUAAUGCGUCCCCUUGGAUUUCAAACCUGGUCCUUACCCUGAAAAAAUCUGGGGAGCUGCAUCUGUGUUUAGAACUACGUGUUGUCAACAAAGCAUUCAUAACAAAAAAGAUCCCCUGCCAACGGCUGAAGAACUUACCACAAAUUUCCAAGGCUCCACUGUUUUCAGGAAACUGGAUCUGCUACAUGUCCACAUUACAUUAUCUACAAGUGCCACUGGCACCUGUUAGCAGAGACCUCACAGCCUUUGUCACAUACAUGGGGGUUUUACAAGCGCAUGUCAUUUGGCAGCUCUGUCCCCAGCUGCUUUAAAAAAAAGAAUGUCCCUUACCCUGACCAGCAUACCAGGUGUUUCGAUCUAUUUGGAUGACAUUGUGGUGUAUGGAUCUACGCAGUCUCAACACGAUACUCGUCUACUACAAGUUUUCCAUCAGCUAUCUGCCCAUCACGUGACUCUCAAUACAGAAAUGUCUGUUUGGGGUUCCAGAGCUCGAAUUUGUGGGGUACAAGAUCUCAGGACAAGGCAUCACCCCUAUCCUGUCUCACGUGGACACCAUCCACGCCCUCCCUGACCCACAGUCAGCAUCUUUUCUUGGAAUGGCCACAUAUUACCUCAGUACCAGCACCAGCUUACAUCCGAUCCUACGCUCGCACACUUCAGUCUCACAGUGCCCACAAUUGUUACCCGUGAUGCCUCGGCAGUUGCCCUGGGCGCUGUGCUGUGCCAGCUACAUGAUGGCAUAGAAAAACCUGUGGCGGAACAAAAGUAUUCUGUGGGCGAGAGGGUAGAGCCUUCAUGCUGUGGACAGACCACCAAGCUCUCACAGCAUUACUUGCCACUAAUGGCUCGGGACAUAAAUUCAAGUGGGUAGACCAUUUAAACCAGUACAAUUUCACUCUACAAUUCAUGCCUGGAUGUCAGAAUGGAGUGGCUGAUCUCCUGCCGAGUGCGAUAACACCAAUGACAACAGUUCAGCAGGUGAAGGACAUGGAACCGGACUUAGUGCACUUGCUUCAAGCACCCCUAACAGCCAUUGUGUCAAUGGAACAGCUACUGAAAGAAUCCCAGGAAGAUGCAGUGUUCACCACUCUCUGCACUUACAUCAGAGGGGGGUGGCCAUCUAAAGUGGAAAGGGAGCUGUUACCAUCCUGCAGAGUGAGGGAAGAAUGAUCCUGCUGGGAGGAUGUUUGUAUUGCCAGGGGCCACUGCACCCUGAUUCCAGCAGUUCUUCGAGCACAGGUAUUGGGAAUGGCACACGAGAGGCAUCUUGAAAUAGUAACUAAAACAGUGCUGCAGGGACAUUGUCUGGUGGCCAAACAAUGAUCAAAAUAUUGAGCUGAUGGUCAAGGACUACACUGCAUGUCUUCUCAGUGGCAAAUCUAAUCAACCAACUCCUGCCCCUCUGUUUCCGGUAGAGUGACCAUCUUCGCCGUGGAAGCAUCUCCAAGUAGACCUCUGUGGAGAACUACAUGGCACACCAGACCAUGCCAGAUACCUCCUGGUGGUCUAUGACCUGUACUCGAAGUGGUCUGAAGCUCUGCCCCUGGGGUCAAUCACCACCCAAGCAGUUAUUUGAGGGCUGGAUUCAUUGUUUGCACGUUGGGGCCUGCCAGAUGUCAUCACUACAGACAACGGCCCCCAGUUCAUCUGUGUACACAGAACAUCUGUGUACCAUCCUCAGGCUAAUGGAAGCGUGGAGCGUCUCAACCAGUCUCUAAAGAAUGGCAUUCGUGUUUACUUUACCGAAGGUUGGCAGGUUGAAGCAGCCCUUCUGCAAACUCUUCUACACUUCCAAGCCUCUAAGAACACGACUACAGGAGUGUCUCCGGCGUUGCUGAUACUGGGAAGAGAACUACAGCUCCCUAUCGAGCACCUUUUGUUUUGCAAAGAGUAGACCUGCCCCUUCAGUCACACAAGUGCAAGUAUAGGCCAUGUUUGACCAGUCCAGAAGAACUAAACCAUCGACCCUGAAGGAACGGGGCUGGUCAACUCCUUUACAGAUUGUCAGGAAGUUAGGACCGGCCACCAAGUCACCAGAAUGUGAUGACUGAACCAGAAAAUAAUACAAAGAUAAUCUAAACAAGAAAAAAAAUCAAUACUGGCAUAAGAGUAUUGUCGAAGACGUUCCUCUCCAAAUAAAACAUUACCUGUCAAAUUUACUGAAAUCAUGAUCAUGAAGGUUUUGUGCUUUGUUGUUGGCAUUGGUAGCUGCAUGCUGACCUUUUGCUAAGGCAUGUUUAACAUAAUCUUCAGGUUUCAACAAUACUAGUGGUGGGCCGACUGAUCUGAUGAACAGAACUGUUGUUGUUAAGAGCACAUAUUUUUUGACUUUUCAUUGUUUGGAGUGUAAAAAGUUUCCUUAUUAAUUGAAGUCACAUCCUAAAUUAUAUUGUUACAGUAGGGUUUUUUUGGAACAAUUAAAAAAAAAAAGUUACACAGUUCAUCAUUUGCAUACUGUAUAAAUCUCACCUUUUUUCACCUUGUUGCACCCUUUCCUCAGAUUCUAUUCCAUACAACGUUAUAUAACAUUUCUCAGUAAUGAAAAGAAAGGGAAAAAAACUCCACAAAGCAUGACAGAAUUUACACUUUCUAGUCUGUGAAAGAAUGUAAAAUAUCACAAACGUGAGAAAGAAUGUAUGAAUCAAAAAUUGUAAAAUAAUGUUAUUAUAAUAUUAUGUUAUUAUAAUAUUUCUAUUAUAUUAAAAUAUGAUAUGAAGACAUAUAUUAAAAUAUUAUAUGUUUAUAAAGUGUGUACUGUAACAUCUCAAAGCAUCAUCUUUUCUUGAUUUGUAAUAGCAGAAGACUAAAACAUAAAAAAAUGUAAAUACUGAAAACAGCUUGUACUGAAUAUACAUACUAGAAAUGAAGACACACAUUCCUUUUACAGCUUUCCAUUUGAUUUAUUUGAAAAUAGAUUAGUUUUUUUUUUAAAUACAACAAACACAAAACCACUAUAUUGAAAUGUAUUACAUCCACUGAUUUAUUCUUUAGAAGAAAAUGCGUACCUUGCUUUAUCAAUGCUCCUUAUAACAUGAAAAAAUAAAUGACAGAAUGACCUUUUAUUUUAAGCCAACAAGCCUUGAGCUUUUGCAGUGGUUUCCAUCACAGUAUAAAGAAGGAAUUUGAUCAUCUCUCCUUCUCUGGUUUUAAAGAUCAUGGCAUUCUGGAAUUACUUAGAACUUCCUGACAAUGCUUCUCCUUCAGUCUACAUUAACAAAUAGAUAUUACAUAUUUAUACUAUUCUUUGAUCUCUGUAUGCUGCUGAUUUUGAACCACAUAUGUUUUUAUUGUGAUGUUUGUAGAUUGUUACUGUUUUUUAUACAUUGCAAUUGUUUUUUUUUGUUUAUUGUUUUUCAUGACCCCCUUGUAAAUGAGGCCUUAUAUAUAUAUAUAUAUAUAUAUUUAUUUAAUCUCCUGAUUAAAUAAAUAUAUAUAUAAAUAAAUAUAGUAUUUACAUCCUGAAAACAUUUAAUAUCUUGUUGAUUCAAAGCAACAAUGGAGCGAACUCUGGUGUCACCGUCAUGCAACAAUGGCAUCCAAAGUGUUAAAAUGUAAGCAAUUACAUAUUCUGGAAGUUUAAAAAAAAUAACCAUGGGCUGAAUAACACUACUAGAGUUUCUGCGGACAGGCUAAAUCAUCUGUAGAACAUUCUAUAAAUAAUACAACAAUAAAUCAAAGAGCAAGAUUAAUUAACGUUUUACUAUUAUUAUUCUAAUAGGCCACUUUGAAUCUGUUGCCAUCUGGUUUUGCUGAGAAACAACUGACCAAGCCUGGAGUUAUACGACCGGUGGCUGUUAUUCCUAAAGAGAAAGAGAAGUAUCAGCCCAAUCCAUUCAGACAGUACCUUGAAGAGACUUCAGA